rnacentral:lncRNA from 1 species
CUUGGGUCUCCUUCCAAGCUGUGGAAGCUUUGUUCUCUCACUUUUUGCAAUAAAUCUUGCUGCUGCUCAUGCUUUGGGUUCCUGCUGCCUUUAUGAGCUGUAACACUCACCAGGAAGGUCUGCAGCUUCACUCCUGAAGCCAGCGAGACCACAAGCCCACAGGGGGAGGGGGUGGACGGGAGGAACGAAAAACUCCAGACGUGCCACCUUAAUGAAAUAUAACACUCACCGCGAAGGUCUGCGGCUUUACCCCUGAGGCCAGCAAGACCAGGACCCCACCGGAAGGAACAAACAACUCCUGAGGCGCUGCCUUCUAAGAGCUGUAACACUCACUGCCACACUCACUGCGAAGGUCUGCAGCUUCACGCCUGAAGUCAGCGAGACCACGAACCCCGCAGAAGGAAGAAACUCCAGACACAUCUUAACAUAUGAAGGAACAACCUCCAGACACACCAUCUUUAAGAACUGUAACACUCACCGCGACGGUCCACAGCGUCGUUCUGGAAAUCCCCUACCACUAUGCUGUUCACAGAAGUCUAAGCUGAAUAAAG